AAGUCGUAACAAGGUUUCCGUAGGUGAACCUGCGGAAGGAUCAUUAACACGUAUCCAACGUUAAACAACCCUGUGAACUUUAAGUCCCCAUGACCGGUAAAUCAUUGCCAAACAGUUUUGAUUCGGCUGUCCAAAAGGACCCCAAGCAGUUAGUGAAUGACAGUGUCACUGACUGUGUAAGGAUAACGCCUCACGGUUGCUAGACGACCGGCAGACAUGUCACAGGGUCACCACCUUAAUCACUCCACUUGAAAAUGCCCCGCCUAGUGGUAACGCGCUAGGUAAAAAAAACCGAACAACUGUUAACAAUGGAUAUCUUGGUUCUC
rnacentral:misc_RNA from 1 species